UGGGGAAUUUUGGACAAUGGGCGCAAGCCUGAUCCAGCCAUGCCGCGUGCGGGAAGAAGGCCUUCGGGUUGUAAACCGCUUUUGUCAGGGAAGAAAUCUUCUGAGUUAAUACCUCGGGAGGAUGACGGUACCUGAAGAAUAAGCACCGGCUAACUACGUGCCAGCAGCCGCGGUAAUACGUAGGGUGCAAGCGUUAAUCGGAAUUACUGGGCGUAAAGCGUGCGCAGGCGGUUUUGUAAGACAGAGGUGAAAUCCCCGGGCUCAACCUGGGAACUGCCUUUGUGACUGCAAGGCUUGAGUGCGGCAGAGGGGGAUGGAAUUCCGCGUGUAGCAGUGAAAUGCGUAGAUAUGCGGAGGAACACCGAUGGCGAAGGCAAUCCCCUGGGCCUGCACUGACGCUCAUGCACGAAAGCGUGGGGAGCAAAACAGGAUUAGAUACCCUGGUAGUCCACGCCCUAAACGAUGUCAACUGGUUGUUGGGAAGGUUCCUUCUCAGUAACGUAGCUAACGCGUGAAAGUUGACCGCCUGGGGGAGUACGGCCGCAAGGUUG
rnacentral:rRNA from 1 species